rnacentral:rRNA from 1 species
GUCCAGACUCCUACGGGAGGCAGCAGUGGGGAAUAUUGCACAAUGGGGGAAACCCUGAUGCAGCGACGCCGCGUGAGCGAUGAAGUAUUUCGGUAUGUAAAGCUCUAUCAGCAGGGAAGAAAAUGACGGUACCUGACUAAGAAGCCCCGGCUAACUACGUGCCAGCAGCCGCGGUAAUACGUAGGGGGCAAGCGUUAUCCGGAUUUACUGGGUGUAAAGGGAGCGUAGACGGCAAUGCAAGCCAGAUGUGAAAGCCCGGGGCUCAACCCCGGGACUGCAUUUGGAACUGUGUAGCUGGAGUGUCGGAGAGGCAGGCGGAAUUCCUAGUGUAGCGGUGAAAUGCGUAGAUAUUAGGAGGAACACCAGUGGCGAAGGCGGCCUGCUGGACGAUGACUGACGUUGAGGCUCGAAAGCGUGGGGAGCAAACAGGAUUAGAUACCCCUGUA